AUUGAACGCUGGCGGCAGGCCUAACACAUGCACGUCGAGCGGAGGAGGAGAAGGGUGAGUAUUGCCUAUGACUCUGCAUGGUACUGGGGGAUAGCGUUCGGAAACGGGCGCUAAUACCGCAAACUAUCGGAUGAGCCUAGGUCGGAUUAGCGAGUUGGUGGGGUAAGGGCCUACCAUGGCGACGAUCCGGAACUGGUCUGUUAGGAUGAUCAGUCACACUGGAACUGAGACACGGUCCAGACUCCUACGGGAGGCAGCAGUGGUGAAUAGUGGACAAUGGGCGAAAGCCUGAUCCAGCCAUGCCGCGUGUGUGAAGAAGGCCUUCGGAUUGUAAAGCACUUUAAGUUGGGAGGCGUUACCAACAGAAUAAGCACCGGCGAACUUCGUGCCAGCAGCCGCGGUAAUAC
rnacentral:rRNA from 1 species